UCCCCUUAUAAGUACACAUAAUCCCGCAAUCUCCACUUUAACCUCAUAGUUCUUUCACUCGAUGCGCAAUACUCACACUCACCUCCAACAAAUCAACAAGUGUUCGUUCUAAAGCCAGAUGAUUUCUGUCAACACCCACGAGUUGCCAAAACACUCCUAGCAGUAUUGGGUUUCCAACAUUCUCUUAUUGAGAGAGAUUUCAAAAAAUCGUGAUGUUGAAACCCAGCCCUAAUGGACAUUUGUUGUGCAUAACCAUGUUGGAAUUACCUAUUGCAGAGUGUACUCACCAUUCCAUUGUGAAAGUGCAUUCAAAUUUUUGGUAGACCCGUGCCUUUGGGCCCCAUUCCCGCUAUCUACAGCCUCUCCAUGGCCUUGAUUUCAACCGUCAUAUUCACCGGGACGUUUUUCUCCGUCGUCGCUGAGAUCCGGGACACCCGGUGGUUCUAGCGGAGGUCCAAGACCCCAUUACAAGGGUUGUUAUGCUUCCUUCUGGGGACACAACCAUCGGGGCAAGCCUUUUUCUGGUCAUACGCCUACUACCUCUGUCACUUCCUCCACAUGCUCCGCACAUACUUCACCAUAUUAGGACAUUGAAAACAAGUUGCUUAAAUUUUUGGGCUUUAUGUGGAAUCCUCUAUCAUGAGUGAUGGAAGUUGCUGCUAUCAUGGCCACUACUAUGGAAAAUGGAGGGGGAAUUAUGAGCAUGCCAGAUUUGGCUGUUCAAGCACUGGCCUUAACCAUUCGCCAUUUGAAACAAUUUGGUUUGGAAAGAAUUCUGUGUAUGGGAGCUUCGUUUUGGCCCUUUUCAAGCAACAUGGAGAUGACCCUUUUGGCGAAUGCACUUCAACAAUUAGAGGUAUCUCACCUUUUAUGAGAUAGAAACAUGAAAUCUGCUCGUCUUGAUGCUGUUUCUAAGAUUGUGAUGUCCAUGGGUUCUUGCAAAGCAUCGCAAAAUUUUGGUGGGAUUGAUGAGGGAGACUCUGAUAUCACAUAUGUACAACCUGAGGUUAAUUAUUUGUUUUCUUCAGUUUUAACAACUUUAGGAAGGUCACCAGAUAUUCAACGUGGACUAACAAGAAUUUUCCACCGAACAGCCACUGCAUCUGAGUUCAUUUCAGUCACGCAAGCUAUUUUAUUUGCUGGGGAAACAACUUCAGCGACUUCACAUUGAAGAGAAAGAUGUUGAUGAGAAGGGGCAAUCAAGGAGUGUGCACUCUGUUUUGUGAAGAAAGUUGAUUUUGACAGCUUCAUCAUCUGGUAUAAUUGGGAAUGCUGCAAAACUAUUGUCCAACUUAAACAAAGAAACAGCUGAUAAAGGGGAUUUACCUAACUUAUUCAUUAUUUCAAGUGGUCAAUUCCCAGAGGUUGCUAAAGUAAGGUUAUUGGUUCAAUCAGUAAAGGAGAAAUUGGAUUUAUUAAUUGGAUUGUAUCGGAAGCAGCUUCGAAUGAACAAUUUGGAAUUCAUGAGUGUUUAUGGGACCACACAUUUGAUAGAGGUAGUUCAGCGAAACAAAUUUUGCGAGAACUUAUAUAUGUACCUCGCCAGAUAACAAAGUAUUCUAAUAAUUUUAAUGCUAUUUGAUCUGCUAGAUAUUAGUCAUUUUUUUCCUUUGAUUUACAAUUUUAAGCCUCUUGUCUUUUAGCCCUUGCUUUAUCAGAUUUAUUUGAAGUUAACAAUUGUUUGAGUAUUGAGUAGGAAGCAUUUUAGUUUUGUCCUGUAGAAGCUUAAUGUGGGAAAACUGAAGGACUGAUUUUCAGUCAUUCUCUUUCCUUUUUUUAUUUACCAUUCCUUUUUACUCCUGGUUAAUAAUUGCGAAUUUUUUUUGGGUGUAUUUAAUAACCUAUUAGGAUUUAGAAUGUACCCUCCAUAUAGUGCAUCCUAACUGCACACAUAUUUUUGUCAAAGUAGGUUUUGGAUUAUGUUAAUGCCCUAAUUUUCAUGAAAUUGUUGGCGGCUUUCUAAUUGAGAUUCAGCAUUAACCACUUGAAAUGGUUUCAUACUGUGUGUGCACACAUGUGCAUAUUGGUACAAUGAAUAUUUCAUUAUUACUGGGCUUAGGUCUUCCUUGAUCUUCAUGUUGGCAAUUACACUCUGCCUCAGUGCUUCCUUGAUGUUUAUUUAUUUCCCUGAGGAGCCUUCAGGUACUAUUAUUCCAUUCCCAUCUCAUUUCCUUAUUGUGCAUAGUGUUAUUCAUCAUGAAUGGGUUUUAGAUAUUACUUUCUCAAACUGCAGAAACAUAAUAAUUAACCACUUUGGACUUCAUUCAUUUACAAGAAAUAACAUUUAGUUUUCUUUUGCUGUUUGAUUUUUCGUUAAUUUUCAUGAGACUUGAAAAGUUAUGAAGGGGUCUCAUCUUAAGGUUUCUUAUAUAGAAAAUCAUACAGUUUGAUUCCUAUUACUCGUUCUAUUUGUUUAAUUACUCAGUGUGGGGAUUUUUCUAGAUACUUACAUGACUAGUCCUAAGAGGGUUUGCUUUGAUAUACUUUUAUUCAUUUCAUUUAGAUCACUUCUUUUGAGGUUUCAUAAGGGUUUAUGUCUCCGAGUUUGCAUUUUCUUGGUCAGGAGUGAAUUAAAGUAUUCAAUUUAUUUCUGGGUAAGUUUUCUUAGAUAGCACAUAAUAAAAAGUCUAUCCAAUUCUACUCAACUCAACUCAAACUUAUGUAGUCACAUCUUAUGAGGCCUUAAUUUGAAAUCCAAGGCUUAAAAUUAUGAUAUAUUUUUUUUCUCUUAGUAAUUGAGUGAGUUUUUAAAUUCAGUUUCUCUUAGAAAUCAAAAUUUUGAAACAAAUUUUCCCAAGUCCCAUAUUUGAAGAAUUUCAAGACUCAAAAUUUGUAGUCCUUCCCACAAUUUUAUAAGCAAUUGAUCGAAAAGAGCUUUGUUGAAAUUUGGAUCCUUAGUGAAACUUUUUUUUUUUUUGUUUCUUGUUAAAGCAAUACCCUAGUACAGGUUCCUUUUUUGGUAUUCUGGAAGGAUGAACUACAACAGACUAAACAUCAAUAUCUACUACAUUGAUUAGUUGUUUGCACAUUCAAUUUUUUCUAUUAUCUUUUAAAAAAUUAGGCUUUCUACUAAUGUUUAAUUUCAUUUAGUACCAGUCUUAAGCUUGACAAAAAUCAAUUAGUCAUACAGAAAAUUCAUCCUAUAAAUUACAUGUUACAUCUACUCAAACAAUCUACAAGGUAUACAUGAUUUUUUUAAAUAAUUAUCAUUUUCUUAGAUUUUUCUUUCUUCUACAUUGUCUUAUUUUUGCAAUUGUGUUCCUCUCUAAGAAUUCUGUAUUGUACAUCCAUUUUUUGCAAAAUGAAUUAUUUGUUUCUAAUUAAAGGAAAAUGUGGUAAAAAGCUAAUUUCUUAUUUGACAUUUUUCCAUAGGUAUCAAUACCUUCAUAUAUUCCAUUUUGGGGAGAUGUGAUAGUAAAGAAGUAGGUACCUAUGUCUCCAGUGAUUGAUAUUAUCAUCAAAAAGGAUGCAAAGGAAACUGGUUUGCCAAAAGAAGAUAACCCAAUUUAUUAAAGGAGGUGAUGUCGAUCGAAAACCACCAUGAAGAUUGCAUCAUUAGUCAUUUGAAGGUUGAACAAAAUUUUUUUGUAGAAUAUAAAUCUUAAUAAUUGUUGCAGUAAUAUUUGUACUCUUGUUGAAAGAAUUAGAAAUUGUUGUUUGAAAUAUUUUGAUGUAAUUAACAAAUUUGUAUGCAAUUAUUGUAUAUAAGUAGCUACAUUAAUGGUUUGAACUAGGUUAUUAUA